rnacentral:sRNA from 1 species
GCCGGGCGCGGUGGCGCAUGCCUGUGAUCCCAGCUGCUUGGGAGGCUAAGGCAGGAGGAUUGGGAAUUCAAAGCCAGCCUCAGCAAAGGUGAGGCAUUAAGCAAUUCAGUGAGACCCUGUCUCUA